UACAGAGGGGGCAAGCGUUGUUCGGAAUUACUGGGCGUAAAGGGCGCGUAGGCGGCCUGUUAAGUCGAACGUGAAAUCCCCGGGCUCAACCCGGGAACUGCGUCCGAUACUGGCAGGCUUGAAUUCGGGAGAGGGAUGCGGAAUUCCAGGUGUAGCGGUGAAAUGCGUAGAUAUCUGGAGGAACACCGGUGGCGAAGGCGGCAUCCUGGACCGAGAUGACGCUGAGGCGCGAAGCCAGGGAGCAAACGGGAUUAG
rnacentral:rRNA from 1 species